GAGUGUGGGUUACGCCCUGGCCAUGUCCCCCUCUUUCCCAACUGCUGGGAGGCAAAAAUUGGGUGACCUGAGAGCACCUUUGGUGUGCCAGCAACAGCAAAAGGACACUUGGGUGCAAGUGGGAAUCUUGUUACUUUGAGGAGCAUUGCACAAAGCCCUGUGUCUUCAGCCAAGUGCACCCUUUCCUUUU
rnacentral:lncRNA from 1 species